CCGGCGCACGGGUGAGUAACACGUAUCCAACCUGCCGUCUACUCUUGGACAGCCUUCUGAAAGGAAGAUUAAUACAAGAUGGCAUCAUGAGUCCGCAUGUUCACAUGAUUAAAGGUAUUCCGGUAGACGAUGGGGAUGCGUUCCAUUAGAUAGUAGGCGGGGUAACGGCCCACCUAGUCUUCGAUGGAUGGGGGUUCUGAGAGGAAGGUCCCCCACAUUGGAACUGAGACACGGUCCAAACUCCUACGGGAGGCAGCAUG
rnacentral:rRNA from 1 species